AGGACGAACGCUGGCGGCGUGCUUAACACAUGCAAGUCGAACGGAAAGGCUCCAGCUUGCUGGAGUACUCGAGUGGCGAACGGGUGAGUAACACGUGGGUAAUCUGCCCUGCACUCUGGGAUAAGCCUGGGAAACUGGGUCUAAUACUGGAUAUGACCUUUCUCCUUAUGGGGUUUGGUGGUAAAGUUUUUCGGUGUAGGAUGAGCCCGCGGCCUAUCAGCUUGCUGGUGAGGUAACGCCCACCAAGGCGACG
rnacentral:rRNA from 1 species